rnacentral:rRNA from 1 species
CAGCAGCCGCGGGAAAACGUAGGUGGCAAGCGUUGUCCGGAUUUAUUGGGCGUAAAGCGAGCGCAGGCGGUUUCUUAAGUCUGAUGUGAAAGCCCCCGGCUCAACCGGGGAGGGUCAUUGGAAACUGGGAGACUUGAGUGCAGAAGAGGAGAGUGGAAUUCCAUGUGUAGCGGUGAAAUGCGUAGAUAUAUGGAGGAACACCAGUGGCGAAGGCGGCUCUCUGGUCUGUAACUGACGCUGAGGCUUGAAAGCGUGGGGAGCAAACAGGAUUAGAUACCCGCGUAGUCCCUGUCUCUUAUAA